AGAGUUUGAUCCUGGCUCAGAUUGAACGCUGGCGGCAGGCCUAACACAUGCAAGUCGAACGGUAGCACAGAGAGCUUGCUCUCGGGUGACGAGUGGCGGACGGGUGAGUAAUGUCUGGGAAACUGCCUGAUGGAGGGGGAUAACUACUGGAAACGGUAGCUAAUACCGCAUAACGUCGCAAGACCAAAGAGGGGGACCUUCGGGCCUCUUGCCAUCGGAUGUGCCCAGAUGGGAUUAGCUUGUUGGUGAGGUAACGGCUCACCAAGGCGACGAUCCCUAGCUGGUCUGAGAGGAUGACCAGCCACACUGGAACUGAGACACGGUCCAGACUCCUACGGGAGGCAGCAGUGGGGAAUAUUGCACAAUGGGCGCAAGCCUGAUGCAGCCAUGCCGCGUGUAUGAAGAAGGCCUUCGGGUUGUAAAGUACUUUCAGCGAGGAGGAAGGCGGUAAGGUUAAUAACCUUAUCGAUUGACGUUACUCGCAGAAGAAGCACCGGCUAACUCCGUGCCAGCAGCCGCGGUAAUACGGAGGGUGCAAGCGUUAAUCGGAAUUACUGGGCGUAAAGCGCACGCAGGCGGUCUGUCAAGUCGGAUGUGAAAUCCCCGGGCUCAACCUGGGAACUGCAUUCGAAACUGGCACGCUAGAGUCUUGUAGAGGGGGGGUAGAAUUCCAGGUGUAGCGGUGAAAUGCGUAGAGAUCUGGAGGAAUACCGGGUGGCGAACGCGGGCCUCCUGGAACAAAGACUGACGCUCAGUGCGAAAGCGUGGGGAGCAAACAGGAUUAGAUACUCCUGGUAGUCUACGUCGUAAACGAUGUCGAACUUUGGAGGUUGUGCCCUUUGAGCGUGGCCUUCGAGCUAACGCGUAGUUCGACGGCUGGGGGAGUACCGGCCGCAAGGCUAAAAACU
rnacentral:rRNA from 1 species